rnacentral:rRNA from 1 species
CCUACGGGAGGCAGCAGUGGGGGAUAUUGCACAAUGGGGGAAACCCUGAUGCAGCGACGCCGCGUGAGUGAAGAAGUAUUUCGGUACGUAAAGCUCUAUCAGCAGGGAAGAAAAUGACAGUACCUGACCAAGAAGCACCGGCUAACUACGUGCCAGCAGCCGCGGUAAUACGUAGGGGGCAAGCGUUAGCCGGAUUUAUUGGGUGGAAAGGGGGCGUAGACGGGUAUGUGAGUCUGGAGUGAAAGCCCGGGGCCCAACCCCGGGACUGCUUUGGAAACUGUGUAACUGGAGUGCAGGAGGGGAGAGCGGAAUUCCAGGUGUAGCGGUGAAAUGCGUAGAUAUCUGGAGGAACACCGGCGGCGAAGGCGGCCCGCUGGACUGAAACUGACGUUGAGGCUCGAAAGCGUGGGGAGCGAACAGGAUUAGAUACCCCAGUAGUC